UGAGUAUGUAGCUCAGUGGAUAGAGUUUCAGAUUCCGAUUCUGAUAGUCGCUGGUUCGAAUCCAGCCAUACUUGU
rnacentral:tRNA from 1 species